UGAUCUUGGAAGAGUUUUGCUGC
rnacentral:siRNA from 1 species